rnacentral:rRNA from 1 species
UAAUAAACUAAAACUUUCAACAACGGAUCUCUUGGUUCUGGCAUCGAUGAAGAACGCAGCGAAAUGCGAUAAGUAAUGUGAAUUGCAGAAUUCAGUGAAUCAUCGAAUCUUUGAACGCACAUUGCGCCCCUUGGUAUUCCGGGGGGCAUGCCUGUUCGAGCGUCAUUA